ensembl:lncRNA
AUGACUAAAUACCUCCAUGCUGCUGUCCGAGAUGAAGCGGAACAGGAAGUGGUCACUCUAGAGCAUAACCAUCACUCACAGCCUUCAUCAAAGCUGCCCUCGUUGCAGUGGUUUCAAGAGCUCUCCAAGGUGCUGAAAAAGCCACUUCCUUUUACCUGCGAGGCCCACUGACUCCAUGUCAGACCGUCACAGCACUGCAGAACUUUGAGCUGCCUCUUUUGCACUCAGUCUUCGUCUCCUCCAUCCUGAGCAGAGGACGAGGCUGAGCAGAGGGAGUCGCGGAAGACUCCGGGGUGUCUUUGUUUAGAUUAAUGACUUUUGAAAAUGCAGCAGUCUCACGGAUUCAUGGCCAGUGCCCCACGUUGAGCUCUUAAGGGGCUGCUGCAGGAAGAGGCAGACUGACAGUUGGGCUGUCAGCAUCAUUAUCUGGCUUGAGUCCUGCCAUUAUAGUGGCAAAGAGCUGAAGAGUGUCACCCUCCGGAGCAGAGAUUUAGCCUAAAGCUCUCAUCUGUGCAGACAGCAGGCGAAGAGGACCCUCCCAGGUGAGAGUGCCGAGGUGAACCCUGUUUCAUUACCUUUCUGCACUAGUACAUCGACCUGUUAGUAACCUUAGUGUGACAGGGAAAGAGACUCUGUUAAUGCCUCUCAGCUCUUUUGUCUCUGUCUGGCAGGUGAAUAUGGGAACGUAGCGACAGUCUGUUCACAAGUGUCCAAACACACUCUUAAAUCAUGAUUUCUAGCUGUAUAAAGGGAAACUUUUCAUGGCAACAGACAAACAGCUAUUAACUGAAGAGAAUGUCUCUGUUUCCCUUAUAACGUGCAUUAUAAAAACAUCGAAAAUGGGGAAUCAGCCUUUAGUCACGAUUUCCAUGCUGUCUCUUAAUUAAUUAUUUAUUUCAAAUAGCACAUAUCUUUCAAUAUUUGAUCACUUUACGUUGGCAAUUUAAUUUGUUUACUCCUUACUUCGUUUUGUAUUUUACUAUUACUUUACACAACCAUUCAAAAGUUUGGAGUCAGUAAGAUAAGAAAUUGAAGUUUUUUUUUUUUUUAAAUAAAUUUAAAAAGAAAUUAUAAAAUUAUUUUUAU